rnacentral:rRNA from 1 species
CAGUAGCCGCGGUAAUACAGAGGGUGCGAGCGUUAAUCGGAUUUACUGGGCGUAAAGCGUGUGUAGGUUGUUGUUCAAGUCAGUUGUGAAAUCCCUGGGCUCAACCUGGGAACUGCUUCUGAGACUGAACGACUAGAGUACGGUAGAGGGUGGUGGAAUUCCCGGUGUAGCGGUGAAAUGCGUAGAGAUCGGGAGGAACAUCAGUGGCGAAGGCGGCCAUCUGGGACAACACUGACGCUGAGGCACGAAAGCGUGGGGAGCAAACAGGAUUAGAUCCCCCGUAGUCCCUGUCUCUUAUACA